rnacentral:rRNA from 1 species
AUUGAACGCUGGCGGCAUGCCUUACACAUGCAAGUCGAACGGUAACGGGCCUUCGGGUGCCGACGAGUGGCGAACGGGUGAGUAAUGUAUCGGAACGUACCUUUCAGUGGGGGAUAACGUAGCGAAAGUUACGCUAAUACCGCAUGUCCUGUGAGCAGGAAAGCAGGGGAUCGCAAGACCUUGCGCUGAUUGAGCGGCCGAUAUCAGAUUAGCUAGUUGGUGAGGUAAAGGCUCACCAAGGCGACGAUCUGUAGCGGGUCUGAGAGGAUGAUCCGCCACACUGGAACUGAGACACGGUCCAGACUCCUACGGGAGGCAGCAGUGGGGAAUUUUGGACAAUGGGGGCAACCCUGAUCCAGCCAUGCCGCGUGAGUGAAGAAGGCCUUCGGGUUGUAAAGCUCUUUCGGCCGGGAAGAAAUCGUAUGGGUUAAUACCCUGUGCGGAUGACGGUACCGGCAUAAGAAGCACCGGCUAACUACGUGCCAGCCGCCGCGGUAAAAC